CUGAAGUGAAGUAAGAAGACCCGCUGAAUUUAAGCAUAUAACUAAGCGGAGGAAAAGAAACUAACAAGGAUUCCCUCAGUAACGGCGAGUGAAGCGGGAAGAGCUCAAGUUGAAAAGCUCCGGCCCUUUGGGUCUGGCGCAUUGUAGUCUACAGGUGAGUGUUCAGUGUGUGGCCUGGGUCUAAGUUGGUUCGAAUACCACAUCAUAGAGGGUGACAAUCCCGUCUAUGGCCCGGAGACCGCCGCGUCCGAACCUCUUCCUAAGAGUCGCGUUGCUUGGGAAUGCAGCGCUAAUUGGGUGGUAAACUUCAUCUAAAGCUAAAUACUUCUGAGAGACCGAUAGCGAACAAGUACCGUGAGGGAAAGAUGAAAAGCACUUUGAAAAGAGAGUGAAAAGAACCUGAAAUUGCUGAAAUGACAACCGUAGGGAAGUAGUGUUUAAAUAUUCACUUUGUGUUUAUUUUUAGUUCCGCUUGUUUUUUAUUGAA
rnacentral:rRNA from 14 species